rnacentral:rRNA from 1 species
AUUGAACGCUGGCGGCAUGCCUUACACAUGCAAGUCGAACGGCAGCACGGACUUCGGUCUGGUGGCGAGUGGCGAACGGGUGAGUAAUGUAUCGGAACGUACCUUUCAGUGGGGAAUAACGUAGCGAAAGUUACGCUAAUACCGCAUAUUCUGUGAGCAGGAAAGCAGGGGAUCGAAAGACCUUGCGCUGAUUGAGCGGCCGAUAUCAGAUUAGCUAGUUGGUGGGGUAAAGGCCUACCAAGGCGACGAUCUGUAGCGGGUCUGAGAGGAUGAUCCGCCACACUGGAACUGAGACACGGUCCAGACUCCUACGGGAGGCAGCAGUGGGGAAUUUUGGACAAUGGGGGCAACCCUGAUCCAGCCAUGCCGCGUGAGUGAAGAAGGCCUUCGGGUUGUAAAGCUCUUUCGGCCGGGAAGAAAUCGCAUAGGCUAAUACCCUGUGUGGAUGACGGUACCGGAAGAAGAAGCACCGGCUAACUACGUG